rnacentral:rRNA from 1 species
ACGUUGGAGAGUUUGAUCCUGGCUCAGGACGAACGCUGGCGGCGCGCCUAAUCCAUGCAAGUCGAGCGACGCAUUCUUUGCCCGUAAGGGCGGGUUUGACGGAGCGGCGAACGGGUGCGUAACACGUGACCAAUCUGCCCCGAAGACCGGGAUAGCCCGGGGAAACCCGGAUUAAUACCGGAUAAUCUCAUCAUCACGCAUGUGAAGGUGAGCAAAGGUUCAGGCGCUUCGGGAUGAGGUCGCGGCCCAUCAGCUAGUUGGUGAGGUAACGGCUCACUCAAGGCAAUGACGGGUAGCUGGUCUGAGAGGACGAUCAGCCACACUGGAACUGAGAUACGGUCCAGACUCCUACGGGAGGCAGCAGGAGGGAAUCUUGCGCAAUGGGCGAAAGCCUGACGCAGCGACGCCGCGUGGGGGAUGAAGGCCCUAGGGUUGUAAACCCCUUUCACGAGGGAAGAAAAUGACGGUACCUCGAGAAGAAGCCCCGGCCAACUACGUGCCAGCAGCCGCGGUAAUACGUAGGGGGCGAGCGUUGUCCGGAUUUAUUGGGCGUAAAGGGCUCGUAGGCGGCUUGGCAAGUCGGCCGUGAAAACCCAGGGCUCAACCCUGGGACGCCGGUCGAUACUGCCAUGGCUAGGGUCCGGUAGAGGGGAAUGGAAUUCCCGGUGUAGCGGUGAAAUGCGCAGAUAUCGGGAGGAACACCAGUAGCGAAGGCGGUUCCCUGGGCCGGCACCGACGCUGAGGAGCGAAAGCGUGGGGAGCAAACAGGAUUAGAUACCCUGGUAGUC